rnacentral:rRNA from 1 species
GUCGAUUAAGCCAUGCGAGUUAAUGUUCUUCGUGAACAUAGCAGACUGCUCAGUAACACGUGGAUAACCUGCCCUUAGGACUGGCAUAACCCCGGGAAACUGGGGAUAAUUCCGGAUAGAUCAUAAAUGCUGGAAUGCUUUAUGAUUGAAAGGUUUCGACCGCCUUAGGAUGGAUCUGCGGCCUAUCAGGUUGUAGUGGGUGUAAUGUACCUACUAGCCUACGACGGGUACGGGUUGUGGAAGCAAGAGCCCGGAGAUGGAUUCUGAGACAUGAAUCCAGGCCCUACGGGGCGCAGCAGGCGCGAAAACUUUACAAUGCGGGAAACCGUGAUAAGGGAACACUGAGUGCUAGCAUUUAUGUUAGCUGUCCACAUGUGUAAAUAGCAUGUGAUAGCAGGGGCUGGGCAAGACCGGUGCCAGCCGCCGCGGUAACACCGGCAGCCCGAGUGGUGAUCACUAUUAUUGGGUCUAAAGGGUCCGUAGCCGGUUUAAUCAGUCUUCUGGGAAAUCUAAUCGCUUAACUAUUAGGCUUCCAGGGGAUACUGUUAGACUUGGGACCGGGAGAGGUAAGAGGUACUGCAGGGGUAGGAGUGAAAUCUUGUAAUCCCUGUGAGACCACCAGUGGCGAAGGCGUCUUACCAGAACGGGUCCGACGGUGAGGGACGAAAGCUGGGGGCAUGAACCGGAUUAGAUACCCGGGUAGUCCCAGCUGUAAACGAUGCUCGUUAGGU